GCAUGUGGUUUAAUUCGAUGCAACGCGAAGAACCUUACCUGGUCUUGACAUCCACGGAAGUUUUCAGAGAUGAGAAUGUGCCUUCGGGAACCGUGAGACAGGUGCUGCAUGGCUGUCGUCAGCUCGUGUUGUGAAAUGUUGGGUUAAGUCCCGCAACGAGCGCAACCCUUAUCCUUUGUUGCCAGCGGUCCGGCCGGGAACUCAAAGGAGACUGCCAGUGAUAAACUGGAGGAAGGUGGGGAUGACGUCAAGUCAUCAUGGCCCUUACGACCAGGGCUACACACGUGCUACAAUGGCGCAUACAAAGAGAAGCGACCUCGCGAGAGCAAGCGGACCUCAUAAAGUGCGUCGUAGUCCGGAUUGGAGUCUGCAACUCGACUCCAUGAAGUCGGAAUCGCUAGUAAUCGUGGAUCAGAAUGCCACGGUGAAUACGUUCCCGGGCCUUGUACACACCGCCCGUCACACCAUGGGAGUGGGUUGCAAAAGAAGUAGGUAGCUUAACCUUCGGGAGGGCGCUUACCACUUUGUGAUUCAUGACUGGGGUGAAGUCGUAACAAGGUAACC
rnacentral:rRNA from 1 species